CCACUUCUGCUAAUUUAGGCAAUAUGUUAAGGUAGUUUUCUGUUGGAGGGAACAUCAGGAAGGACAGAGAAGGAUACCAGAAAAAUCUAGCCUCUCCCUUCUUACCUUGGCUUUCUACAGAGGCCUUUUCCUCCAUCCUUUUCGUUGGAGUUCUAGGGAGUGCCUGUGUUUUCAUAACCUCCUUUUGUUUAAUGCCAUUGUCCACUUUUACUCCACUCUGAGAAGAUUAGGACUGAAGACUGAAACUCUAAGACAGAAAAGUAACAGUUCUGUUUCUUUAGUAGCCUUAAAAACCCAUUCUUUCUCACCACCGCACUUGGGUUUUCUGUCAACUGUUCACUGCUGUGCCAAGAUGUGGUGGAAGCUUAUUUCUCUGCUUGCUUCUUCUGGUAAGAGCUUAGUGAAGGUUGAAUAAAACAAAGUAAGCAAAACCAUAGCCUUCCCAAGAUGUACAAGACUCAGUUCUCUGGCUUUUGGGUUCUCUUACAGCACUAAUAGACCUGGACAGCCAUUAUGGUGUGGGUCUUGCACGAUAACAUGUCUAAAGACAGGUUUUUCUUAUUUUUUUCAGUGCUGCUUCUCAUCCUCCUGAUAUGUAGUCUGUGUAUCAUGUAUAUCUUGGGUUCUGCUUCCUCCCAAGGCUUUGAAGAUGACACUGAAGAUGAUACUGCUUUUAGCAGAUAACGAACUUUUCCAAUAAUCUGUGAUUCACAGUAUUCUUUGCUUAAGGUACACUGCCACCUAGCAACAGUUUCCCUUCCCUCCCAGUUCUCUUGACCUACUUUGUUGGGGUUGUUCAGCUUUAGUUUGUACCUGGUCUGGUCUUGAUUGGUAUCCAGAACCUAUCAGUAGAUGCCAUCCUGGUAAAUGUGUGUGUGUGGCGUGGAGAUAUUUCUAGUGGCAAUAAGAACUGCUAGCUUCAGGUUUCUCACUAAAAUACAAUGUUUUUUUACUUUUACAGUGUUUUUUCCUACCAGUGUUUUUGUGAAAAAUGCCUGUAAUUUUUUUUCUUUGAAGUGCUUGGUUUUGCUUUCUUCUGUUCAUUAUUCUUUGGAGGAAAUAGAAUUAAAGGGCGAGAAUUAAAGAGAAUUGCUUUCAGCUCUUUUUUUUUCUUCCAGUGCAACAUGAAGCAUGGAGCAUCCAUCUACAGCACUGUACAGAAAUGCAAGUAGCUUAGAGAAAGUACUAAAUGAUUAACCCUUCUGCUCCUCCUCCAAGUUGAUAGUCCUAAAGGAGAUAUUAACUACUUCUGUAAGCAUGAUGGCGAAAUUUACCACCUAAUGUGUUUUAAUCGUUGGUGAUAAAACUAGAGAGCUACAUUGUCAGGCAACCACAGGACAGACUGGAGUCCCGACCCACAGAGCUACCUCGGUCUCCGACUCCCCCAGCAAGGAGUGACUUCAGUGGGAUGCAGGGACUUGGAUGCUUCCUGAGCUUGCAGUCUUGCCCGUGGACUCCACCUCGGUUUCCCUGCUGUUAACUGGAGAGCUGACGGCAGGAGGUUCUAGCUGAAUGCAACAGAUGCGUCCUUGUUGAUUUGGGAGAGUAUUGCAUGGUGUCCUGACAGGCUCAGGCCCUGUGGAGGCACGUGAUGGUAGAACAGAUGAGCAAAAUGAAGCUAAAAUGGGAUGCUAGAGGAGCGUCCUCUCUGUCACGCAGCUGUCCCUUUCUGACAGUGCGGUGAAAACCCAGAUUGCCACGGUGCACGUUGCAGGCUUGUGUCCAUAGCGGGAAGCUGAAAAUACAUCUCCUUCCUAGUCUGUGGCAUCCCAGGGACCUAUCAGAGAGACUGUGCAUGUUUGUCACAAGCUACUCUUGUUGCUUGCUGACAGCCUCACUCUGCACCUAUGGAGUUCUUGUUUGUAUGAGUCAGUCUGCUACUGAUGGCUAAGGCAGAGUGAAGCACUGCUAAGUGUGGUUGCCUGGCUGAUUUCUUGUGCUCCCCAGCAAAAUCAGCAAACUGCUUUGCGGCCUGCUCUCUCCUCACCCCAGUUCCUUGCUUCUCAGAAGGCCCUUCCCCAGAUAUUUCCUGAGUUGUCAUUACAAAUUCUUAUGUCACUUGCCUUGCCUAAAAAGAUUGAACAAAAUGUGAAAUUUUUGAACGAUAUGUUGAAAAAAUGAUAGAAAAUUUCCACAGUUUCAUUCCUUUUUAAAGUGAUGUAGUAUUUAGGAAAAAAAAUGGUCUUAUUUCAACACUGUGUGAGAAUGCAGAAGUUUUGCAAUUAUUAGCUCUGGCAGUAAUUACUUUAAAAAGAAUAAAACCAAAAGGAACCUGUGUAUUCCUUAACAAGAGAAACUACUGCUGUUAAAGCACAGUAGACAGAAUUGACAGGGAAUUGGUGAUUAAAAUGAAGUUCCUGAGAAGUCAGCACUUCAGUCUUUUUGUACUCUUUCUUUCCCUUUGUGUACAUGCCA